AACGAACGCUGGCGGCAGGCCUAACACAUGCAAGUCGAACGCUCCGCAAGGAGAGUGGCAGACGGGUGAGUAACACGUGGGAAUCUUCCCAUCGGUUCGGAAUAGCUCAGGGAAACUUGAGGUAAUACCGUAUACGCCCUUCGGGGGAAAGAUUUAUCGCCGAUGGAUGAGCCCGCGUCUGAUUAGAUAGUUGGUGAGGUAAUGGCUCACCAAGGCGACGAUCAGUAGAUGGGCGGAGAGGAAGACCAGCCACACUUGGACUGAGACACGGCCCAGACUCCUACGGGAGGCAGCAGUGGGGAAUAUUGGACAAUGGGCGCAAGCCUGAGCCAGCCAUGCCGCGUGAGUGACGAAGGUCUUCGGAUUGUAAAGCUCUUUUGGCGGGGACGAUAAUGACGGUACCCGCAGAAUAAGCCCCGGCUAACUUCGUGCCAGCCGCCGCGGUAACAC
rnacentral:rRNA from 1 species